GUUUGAUCCUGGCUCAGGACGAACGCUGGCGGCGUGCCUAAUACAUGCAAGUCGAGCGAACAGAAGGGAGCUUGCUCCCGGAUGUUAGCGGCGGACGGGUGAGUAACACGUGGGUAACCUGCCUGUAAGACUGGGAUAACUCCGGGAAACCGGAGCUAAUACCGGAUAGUUCCUUGAACCGCAUGGUUCAAGGAUGAAAGACGGUUUCGGCUGUCACUUACAGAUGGACCCGCGGCGCAUUAGCUAGUUGGUGGGGUAAUGGCUCACCAAGGCGACGAUGCGUAGCCGACCUGAGAGGGUGAUCGGCCACACUGGGACUGAGACACGGCCCAGACUCCUACGGGAGGCAGCAGUAGGGAAUCUUCCGCAAUGGACGAAAGUCUGACGGAGCAACGCCGCGUGAGUGAUGAAGGUUUUCGGAUCGUAAAGCUCUGUUGUUAGGGAAGAACAAGUGCGAGAGUAACUGCUCGCACCUUGACGGUACCUAACCAGAAAGCCACGGCUAACUACGUGCCAGCAGCCGCGGUAAUACGUAGGUGGCAAGCGUUGUCCGGAAUUAUUGGGCGUAAAGGGCUCGCAGGCGGUUUCUUAAGUCUGAUGUGAAAGCCCCCGGCUCAACCGGGGAGGGUCAUUGGAAACUGGGAAACUUGAGUGCAGAAGAGGAGAGUGGAAUUCCACGUGUAGCGGUGAAAUGCGUAGAGAUGUGGAGGAACACCAGUGGCGAAGGCGACUCUCUGGUCUGUAACUGACGCUGAGGAGCGAAAGCGUGGGGAGCGAACAGGAUUAGAUACCCUGGUAGUCCACGCCGUAAACGAU
rnacentral:rRNA from 1 species